rnacentral:rRNA from 1 species
GAUGAACGCUGGCGGCGUGCCUAACACAUUCAAGUCGAACGAGGUAGCAAUACCUAGUGGCGGACGGGUGAGUAACGCGUGAGCAACCUGCCCUUGCGUGGGGGAUACCGUUUGGAAACGAACGUUAAUACCGCAUAAUGUAAUGAAAUCGCAUGGUUUUGUUACCAAAGAUUUAUUGCGCAAGGAUGGGCUCGCGUCUGAUUAGAUAGUUGGUGAGGUAAUGGCUCACCAAGUCUACGAUCGGUAGCCGGACUGAGAGGUUGAACGGCCGCAUUGGAACUGAGAUACGGUCCAGACUCCUACGGGAGGCAGCAGUGGGGAAUAUUGGGCAAUGGGCGAAAGCCUGACCCAGCGACGCCGCGUGAAGGAAGAAGGUCUUCGGAUUGUAAACUUCUUUUAUUAGGGACGAACAGAUGACGGUACCUAAUGAAUAAGCCACGGCUAACUACGUGCCAGCCGCCGCCGUAAUAC